GAUGAACGCUGGCGGCGUGCCUAAUACAUGCAAGUCGAGCGAACGGACGAGAGGCUUGCUUCUCUGAUGUUAGCGGCGGACGGGUGAGUCACACGUGGAUAACCUACCUAUAAGACUGGGAUAACUUCGGGAAACCGGAGCUAACACCGGAUAAUAUUUUGAACCGCAUGGUUCAAAAGUGAAAGACGGUCUUGCUGUCACUUAUAGAUGGAUCCGCGCUGCAUUAGCUAGUUGGUAAGGUAACGGCUUACCAAGGCAACGAUGCAUAGCCGACCUGAGAGGGUGGUCGGCCACACUGGAACUGAGACACGGUCCAGGCUCCUACGGGAGGCAGCAGUAGGGAAUCUUCCGCAAUGGGCGAAAGCCUGACGGAGCAACGGCGCGUGAGUGAUGAAGGUCUUCGGAUCGUAAAACUCUGUUAUUAGGGAAGAACAUAUGUGUAAGUAACUGUGCACAGCUUGACGGUACCUAAUCAGAAAGCCACGGCUAACUACGUG
rnacentral:rRNA from 1 species